AGGCUCCACGGGUAUGUGGGGUGCUUUUGGGAGGCCCCAGGGCACAGUGGCCAACGCAUCAUGUAUAUCCACAGCAAACUACAGGAGAGUGAACUUGUGGUCGAAGUCCUGCAUGUAGCCAAGUUCAAGUUCCUUGACCACUAGAAGACCCAGAUCUCAAAGACGUGGAGCUUCCUCGUGUUUAAUGCAGGUGAAUUUAAAGAUACAGUAGCUGAUGGCUGUGGAAUGAAAUAAAUUCCCCAUUGUGGUCCCCUAGAUAAGUGGCAGUUCCUCCACUCCUGA
rnacentral:lncRNA from 1 species